GACAGAGGCCCCAAGCGUUAGGCGGAAUCACUGGGCUUAAAGCGUGUGUAGGUGGCUUCCUAAGUCGGUUGUGAAAUCCCUGGGCUCAACCUGGGAAUUGCAGUCGAUACUGGGAGCUCGAGUUCGGUAGAGGACGGCGGAAUUCCCGGUGUAGCGGUGAAAUGCGUAGAUAUCAGGAGGAACACCGGUGGCGAAGGCGGGUCUCUGGGCCGAUACUGACGCUGAGGAGCGAAAGCAUGGGGAGCGAACAGG
rnacentral:rRNA from 1 species